CUGAAAUUAUCCCUAGUUGAGAAUCACUACUCCGGGUCCAUAGAACUUUAUUUCUGGUCAAUUUGGAAUAGGAAAGAGGAAGAUUGUAUUGAAGAUAGAGAAGAAAAGAAGAUAAGAAAGAAAAGUGAGUUGCAUCUUUUCAACAAAGUUGACUCUCUCCCUACAAAGGAAAGUUUGUAUCAGCUACUGAGAAGACUUGGACUGGAACUUACUUCACCAGAUCUCAUGGUUCUUGGGCCUUCAGACUCAGGUUGGAACUAUGCUAUCAGCUUUCCUGGAUCUCCAGCUUGCUGACUACACAAUCUAGGACUUCUCAGCCUUUGUAAUUGUGAGGAACAAAUUGUUCUACAGAAAAUGAAGGAAACUCCAAAUGUUCAAGAGACUGGGGAUGAUAUAUGAAAGCUUUCACCAUUAGCUCCUGCACAUACUUAUAUACUGAAUAGGACCAUGAAAAAGUGCUUAAGCUCAAACAGGAAUACUUCUAUGAUUAUGUGAAGAAGCCUGGGCUAGCCUGCUGAAGGAUGAAGGACCAUGUAGAAAGCAGCCUCAGCUAUUCCAGUUGAGUCACCAGACGUGUGAAUGAGAUGAUCCUAUACAUCAGCCUCAGCUUAGUUGCCUUUGCCAGAAUUUCUCAACCAAACCUAAGUAUUAUGAAAAGUAAUAAUUAUUUGUUAAAUUUGGCCAAUACAUAGUACAUCUUGGGGUGGAUUGUUACCAGUUAGCCAACACUAAGUGGUAUACCAUGUCAUGCUAUACUUAUUUCUUUUCCUUAGGAAAUUGACAAAGUGUUUUACUGAUGUUAACUUGGAAUGCAUUUAAAGACAAAAAAAGGAAAACCUUAAUCCAACAUUGACAUUUCAUUCCUGCAUCUUUAAUGGUUUGAUCAGAAUAAUCAGUGACUCAUAAUUAUAAUGGAUGCAUAAGUGGGCACAUUUUGAUAUUAAAAAAGUGAGGUAAUAUACACAUUACUAAAUAUGAUAAUGCUAGUGAUUUUCCUACUCAACUUAUGUUUAAGGACAUGUCACCAAUAGUGGUAUUCAACUUCAUUUGAAAUUCAAAACAUUAAAGUUAAUUUUUAAACAUUUUUAUUGAGUUGAAGCUAGAGAGUUGAAGAAAAAAUAAGAAAAUUAAGAUUUCACUUCAUAUACAUGUAAUGGAUGUAUUUUGUGGUAAUGCAGUUUUAGUGUUUAGACCACUAUGAAACUAGUAAGAUAGUGGUUUUAAGUGUUGAUCUAGUUAUUUUGAACCUAUAGCUUUGAAAAUGCAUGAAGCUCAUUUUAACAUAAAAUAUAUGGUUUUAAGAUGAAUUCUUCCUCAUAUUGCAUUCUUUCCUCCCUCUACCAGUUUCCUCUCUAUAGGUAUUUGUAUAUAUAUUGACUCUUAGACAAAUUGAGUAGAUAUUAUAUCUGAGUCAACAAAUGUGUAUAUAGACACAUGAACACUAAGAAAGGGCAUUAACAUUUCUAAAAUACGUCAGAUGUACUGACAUAA
rnacentral:lncRNA from 1 species